AUACCAGCACUAAUGCACCGGAUCCCAUUAGAACUCCGCAGUUAAGCGUGCUUGGGCGAGAGUAGUACUAGGAUGGGUGACCUCCCGGGAAGUCCUCGUGUUGCACCCC
rnacentral:rRNA from 1 species